UGGCCAGACUCCUACGGGAGGCAGCAGUGGGGGAUAUUGCACAAUGGGGGGAACCCUGAUGCAGCGACGCCGCGUGGGUGAAGAAGCGCCUCGGCGCGUAAAGCCCUGUCAGCAGGGAAGAAAAUGACGGUACCUGAGUAAGAAGCCCCGGCUAACUACGUGCCAGCAGCCGCGGUAAUACGUAGGGGGCAAGCGUUAUCCGGAUUUACUGGGUGUAAAGGGAGCGUAGACGGCGAUGCAAGUCUGAAGUGAAAGCCCGGGGCUCAACCCCGGGACUGCUUUGGAAACUGUAUGGCUGGAGUGCUGGAGAGGCAAGCGGAAUUCCUAGUGUAGCGGUGAAAUGCGUAGAUAUUAGGAAGAACACCAGUGGCGAAGGCGGCUUGCUGGACAGUAACUGACGUUGAGGCUCGAAAGCGUGGGGAGCAAACAGGAUUAGAUACCCCCGUA
rnacentral:rRNA from 1 species